rnacentral:ncRNA from 1 species
GGAACAUGUCGCUCAAUUUGACUCAAUACGAGAAUACUCAUCUGGUCCGGAAGUCGUAAAGAUUGACAGAUUGAAAUCUCAUUCUCGAUUGGGGGUUGAUGGUCCAUAGUCGUUCUUAAUUGGCGGAGCGAUUUGACUGGUUUAUUCCGAUAACGAGCGAGACUCUAACCUGCUAAAUAGUGACUAGAUUCUUAUCUCUAAUUUACUUUCCAUAAGGAUAAGCGGUAUUUCGCCGCAAGAGAGAGAUAACAGGUCCGUAAUGCCCUUGUAGGCCCUAGACUGCACGCAUGCUACAAUGGAGGAAUCAGCUGGCCUAUUUAUUGUCGAAGAGUGUUAGUAAAACGUUGAAACUCUUCGGUGACAGAGAGAGGGAAGUGUGAUUGUUUUCCAUGACCAA